UCUGCAUUCCAAAGAAAAUGUCA
rnacentral:snRNA from 1 species